rnacentral:misc_RNA from 1 species
GAUGAAGAAUGUAGCGAAAUGCGAUAAGUAAUGUGAAUUGCAGAAUUCAGUGAAUCAUCGAAUCUUUGAACGCAUCUUGCGCUCCUUGGUAUUCUGAGGAGCAUGCCUGUUUGAGUGUCAUUAAAUUCUCAACUACACUGACUUUGAAUUGGUGUGGCUUGGAUUUGGGUGGGAAAAUUGUUGUGGGCUUUUUGUAUAGUCUGCUCCCCUGAAAUUGAUUAGCGGUACCUUUGUGGAACUGUCUACAGGUGUGAUAAUUAUCUACAUCCUAGACAUCUGCUGGAAUGCUGCUUUCUAAACCUUACUUGUAUUGACAAUCUUGACCUCAAAUCAGGUAGGACUACCCGCUGAACUUAAGCAUAUCAAUAAGCGGAGGA